UGCCCCAUGGCUGAGUUGGUUACAGCGUCCGACUGUUAUAAUGUGCUAAGUGCACAAUAGGCAAUCGGAAGGUCGUGAGUUCGAGCCUCACUGGGGCAG